CUGUGCCUCUAUCACUGUCAAUAUUUAAAUUAUGUGUUACUUAAUGUAAGAUAUUUGUGGCACAGGAAGUAGGCACUGCUUUCACUCUACCAGCUGAAGGGCAAGGCAGACCUGCUGACAAGUAGGAAAAUCCGGGUUUAUCAGCCCUACUGGUUUAGUGAGUUUCCUUGCAUUGAUGCUUUGAGCAAGUAAUUCUAAGAAUGUGACUUUUUAAAUGUAUGCUGUUGGGCUGCUUUAUGCAGGAUGUUGAGUCAGACUCACACAUAGUGUUAUUACUGAGGUCUGCAGAAGGAAAAGGGAAAAUUUCUUUGUGAGCAGUUAGGAAGAAAAUACAGGUGCAAGGCCCUGUGAACAAUAAAGAAAGGUGUGAAAACAAGGGGAAAACACUGCCUCAGCAGCUGUUGUGAAAGAAUGGAGAGCUGCAAAUAAGAGCCCCUCUGUGCUGCUAAGGUUGAAGAGCAGAAGUACCAAUGCACAGCACAACAGCCUGCAUUCAGUUCCAGAUACCAGGAUUGCGUAGCCCACACGUAGAGUCACGCUGGCAUACAUAAAAUAUAGCUCAAUCAAGCUGGUGAAACAACCCAGAUUUUAGAGAUGAAGGUCUCUAAACUGGGAGAGAGCUGCUGCUGACCCGCAGGCUGUUAAAGCCCAUGACUGUUUGCUCCAGCACUGCAGUUGCUAUGGCAAUUCAUAUAGACAAAAGCAGUAACCUUUCAGGUUACAACCAGGUAAAAAACUAGGACUUAAAAUAUACUCAGAAACAAACAGGAAGCUGAUAUAGCUGCCAAAGGAUCGAUAUACUGUAUUCUCUGUGUCUAAUACCGUUUCACAACCAGGCAGCUGCAUUCUGUAUGAGCUGCACAUUCCCAGUUCCUUUGAACAGUUGCACCACAUAGAGCACGUAACAGCAACACUGACUUUGUAAAAAACAAAACAAAACAAAAACUCCUGUAAAGAAACUGGAAAAAGAAAACAAAUGUCCAAACAGGCAAUGGCUACUUGGAUCCUUA